rnacentral:rRNA from 1 species
GACGAACGCUGGCGGCGUGCCUAAUACAUGCAAGUAGAACGCUGAAGAAAGGAGCUUGCUUCUUUUGGAUGAGUUGCGAACGGGUGAGUAACGCGUAGGUAACCUGCCUUGUAGCGGGGGAUAACUAUUGGAAACGAUAGCUAAUACCGCAUAACAGCUUUUGACACAUGUUAGAAGCUUGAAAGAUGCAAUUGCAUCACUACGAGAUGGACCUGCGUUGUAUUAGCUAGUAGGUAGGGUAACGGCCUACCUAGGCGACGAUACAUAGCCGACCUGAGAGGGUGAUCGGCCACACUGGGACUGAGACACGGCCCAGACUCCUACGGGAGGCAGCAGUAGGGAAUCUUCGGCAAUGGGGGCAACCCUGACCGAGCAACGCCGCGUGAGUGAAGAAGGUUUUCGGAUCGUAAAGCUCUGUUGUAAGAGAAGAACGUGUGUGAGAGUGGAAAGUUCACACAGUGACGGUAACUUACCAGAAAGGGACGGCUAACUACGUGCCAGCAGCCGCGGUAAUACGUAGGUCCCGAGCGUUGUCCGGAUUUAUUGGGCGUAAAGCGAGCGCAGGCGGUUUAAUAAGUCUGAUGUUAAAGGCAGUGGCUUAACCAUUGUUCGCUUUGGAAACUGUUAAACUUGAGUGCAGAAGGGGAGAGUGGAAUUCCAUGUGUAG